UACGUAGGGGGCGAGCGUUGUCCGGAAUCACUGGGCGUAAAGGGCGCGUAGGCGGCCCGUCCAGUCCGCUGUGAAAGCCCGGGGCUCAACCCCGGAGGGUCAGCGGAGACGGGGGGGCUUUGGGUGUCGGAGAGGAGCCGGGAAUCCCUGGUGUAGCGGUGGAAUGCGUAGAGAUCAGGGGGAACCCCGAUGGCGAAGGCACGGCUCUGGCCGGGCACCGACGCUGAGGCGCGAAAGCUGGGGGAGCGAACGGG
rnacentral:rRNA from 1 species